rnacentral:rRNA from 1 species
UGAACGCUGGCGGCGUGCCUAAUACAUGCAAGUCGAGCGAACAGAUGAGGAGCUUGCUCCUCUGACGUUAGCGGCGGACGGGUGAGUAACACGUGGAUAACCUACCUAUAAGACUGGGAUAACUUCGGGAAACCGGAGCUAAUACCGGAUAAUAUAUUGAACCGCAUGGUUCAAUAGUGAAAGACGGUUUUGCUGUCACUUAUAGAUGGAUCCGCGCCGCAUUAGCUAGUUGGUAAGGUAACGGCUUACCAAGGCAACGAUGCGUAGCCGACCUGAGAGGGUGAACGGCCACACUGGAACUGAGACACGGUCCAGACUCCUACGGGAGGCAGCAGUAGGGAAUCUUCCGCAAUGGGCGAAAGCCUGACGGAGCAACGCCGCGUGAGUGAUGAAGGUCUUCGGAUCGUAAAACUCUGUUAUUAGGGAAGAACAAAUGUGUAAGUAACUAUGCACGUCUUGACGGUACCUAAUCAGAAAGCCACGGCUAACUACGUG